rnacentral:rRNA from 1 species
GGUAACAGGGGGAGCUUGCUCCCCGCUGACGAGCGGCGGACGGGUGAGUAAUGCAUAGGAAACUGCCCAGUAGUGGGGGAUAGCCCGGGGAAACCCGGAUUAAUACCGCAUACGCCCUUCGGGGGAAAGCAGGGGAUCUUCGGACCUUGCGCUAUUGGAUGUGCCUAUGUCGGAUUAGCUAGUUGGUGGGGUAAGAGCCUACCAAGGCGACGAUCCGUAGCUGGUCUGAGAGGAUGAUCAGCCACAUCGGGACUGAGACACGGCCCGAACUCCUACGGGAGGCAGCAGUGGGGAAUAUUGGACAAUGGGGGCAACCCUGAUCCAGCCAUGCCGCGUGUGUGAAGAAGGCUUUCGGGUUGUAAAGCACUUUCAGUGAGGAGGAAAACCUUACGACUAAUACUCGUGAGGCUUGACGUUACUCACAGAAGAAGCACCGGCUAACUCCGUGCCAGCAGCCGCGGUAAUACGGAGGGUGCAAGCGUUAAUCGGAAUUACUGGGCGUAAAGCGCGCGUAGGUGGUUUGAUAAGCGAGAUGUGAAAGCCCCGGGCUCAACCUGGGAACGGCAUUUCGAACUGUCAGGCUAGAGUAUGGUAGAGGAGUGUGGAAUUUCCUGUGUAGCGGUGAAAUGCGUAGAUAUAG